rnacentral:rRNA from 1 species
AUUGAACGCUGGCGGCAGGCCUAACACAUGCAAGUCGAGCGCGAAAAUUCCUUCGGGGAUGAGUAGAGCGGCGGACGGGUGAGUAACGCGUAGGAAUCUGCCCGGUAGUGGGGGACAACAGUCGGAAACGACUGCUAAUACCGCAUACGCCCUAAGGGGAAAGGCAGGGGAUCUUCGGACCUUGCGCUAUCGGAUGAGCCUGCGUCGGAUUAGCUUGUUGGUGGGGUAAUGGCCUACCAAGGCGACGAUCCGUAGCUGGUCUGAGAGGAUGAUCAGCCACACUGGGACUGAGACACGGCCCAGACUCCUACGGGAGGCAGCAGUGGGGAAUAUUGGACAAUGGGGGAAACCCUGAUCCAGCCAUGCCGCGUGUGUGAAGAAGGCC